GUUUAGUGAUGAGAUCCCAUGCGUGUCAUCUGAUGCUCAGGGUCUCUCUGCAUCGUGCCUGCCCAGUGUGUGCGUCUUGCAGACUGCAGCAGGUGGUUACAGAGGGCUCUGAGAAAUGAUUUCACCUCAGUCUGAGAAC